CAGCCGCCACGGUAAUACGUAGGGUGCGAGCGUUAAUCGGAAUUACUGGGCGUAAAGCGUGCGCAGGCGGUUUUGUAAGACAGGCGUGAAAUCCCCGGGCUCAACCUGGAAUGGCGCUUGUGACUGCAAAGCUAGAGUGCGGCAGAGGGGGAUGGAAUUCCGCGUGUAGCAGUGAAAUGCGUAGAUAUGCGGAGGAACACCGAUGGCGAAGGCAAUCCCCUGGGCCUGCACUGACGCUCAUGCACGAAAGCGUGGGGAGCAAACAGGAUUAGAUACCCAAGUAGUCCCUGUCUCUUAUACA
rnacentral:rRNA from 1 species